UGGGGUGGGGUGGUGCCACACCCUAUCACCCAGGAGUAUCUGCAGACAAGGCUGUUUCAUGUUCUUCUGGGCAGUCGCCUAGGAAAGCCUGUCCGUGUCCCCUGGCUCCUGCGUCCUUGUGUGUGAGAACAUCUGUUUUCCUUGCCUUGCUUGGCCUUAAUCUCUCAUUUGAAGGCAGCUGAUGGAGAAGGAAAUGGUGACAUCCCUCCCCUCUUGAUCAUUUCUUUGCUUUCAAUAAUGAGUCAUCAGGGCUGUGUGUGCUGAGGAUUGACGAGUUUCAGUGACGGCAGUAAAGCCCAAAGGCCUGGUGUGUCUCCUGGAGUAUGUGGAGUUCUGGACUGGAACGCUGGGUUUAGAAAAGAAUGGUUUCCAGAGACCCCGAAACUCACAGGCUGUCAUUGACAACGCAUCUUUCCCCCAGUCACCCAGCACAGCAGAAGCCAGGACCCGGGAGAGACCACCUCCAAAUCUGCAGUUUGAGCAGUAAGGCAGAGGGCAAUACUCCAAGGCCCUCUAUAUACCAGCCGGGGUUCCAGCAGGCUCUAUACGGAUUCUACCGCGUCACCUCAAGAGAGGUGCUCGGUUGCUCCGUGAAAGAUGAGGUCUGUGCGUGUCUGGUGGCAGGGACAGGAAGGGUCAUCAUAGUCCCAUCGCUGUAGCCCAGUCUUGUCUUGUGGGUUUGCAGUUAGUGAUACUCUGGCACCUGCGCAAUAAUCAGAGACUCCCCCCAUCUCGGACUGUCCUGCACCCGCCGCAAGGGGGCGCACAUCUAGGAGAGCGGCACCUGGCAACCCAGUUCUAACCCUACUCAGGACCAACACAGGGCCAUUCUCUAAGCCACAGUGGUUGGGCAGUGGUAUCUGGGUCCUCAGGCAUGGAGUUGUGGUCGCCUUUGCGCAACAACUGACUGUCUCCCUGCCUUAGGUGGUCCCAGUCUCCAAGUCCUUGUUAGAGCGGAACCUGUCCAUUCCUCCCUGCUCCCUUUACAGGAAAGGCUGGCUCCUAGAGAAAGGGAAAAUACAGAGAGGAACUCUGGGGCUGAGUUGAAGCCGAAGGAAGCAGCCGCCCUAGCGUUCAGAGACCAGAGGGACUGGGAUCACAGUUACAGAGCUGGAGAAACUUUGUAGCCAACCCUAGGUUGGUCCUUCUCAGGACACCUUGCACAAGCCCGGGGCCCACUGGUGAACAGUGGGGCUCACCAUGCUAGGGCACUGCAUGAUCCUAACACUAAGGAAAAUGUAAAGAAUGCUGAAAGUGAGCCAAGCUCAUCUAUACCCAACGGCCUGUAAGACACUGAUUCUGCCUUGUGUGAUAACCACGCACUAGUCAUCCCAGGCACCCCGACCCACUAGAGCUGCACGAUGUUAUCCACCCACCCCAGAUACCCCUGGCCUAGCACCCACACAGGCGGAGGCGAGGGCUCUGCUUCUCUGCUAGCAGAGACCUGGCAGGAAAAUCAGCACAGCAGAUGGGUAUCACAGAUUCCCAGAAACCUCUGCCCUUUGAUACUUCUAGAGACUCAAGAAUCCGGGCUGAUCUCACCCCCAGCACUUCCUGAGCGAAGUUCACGGCCUUUGAGGGGAACAUGAGGGAGUAUGGCAGGAGUGAAGUCAGUGUGAAUGCCUUUGUACAACUUCAUUGAUCAUUCUGUGAAGUCCUGGCUGGGGCCAGAAAACGACAGCAACAUCCGCGAGAGGAGCUGGCUUUUAUUGAAUGAAUUAACGUUCAUUAUGCGCUAGACACUGUCCUAACAAUUUGCUUUGCUUAUCUCUUGAAAUAAUCCCAAAUGCUACUGCAUUAUUAUCAUUCCCAUUUAGAGGAAGAGAAAAAAGAGGCAAAGAAGGUAGGUGACUUGCCCAAGGUCACACAGUAAAGCUAUGAGUGUGAUGGGGGAAAUUUGAUUAGGUAUGAUUACAAAUAGAAAAAUUCACUUCGUACUGUACAGUUUUGAAAAUGGGUUGUGUAAUUAUCUUCACUCUGAUAAAGAACACUUUGAUCAUGCUGCCAUCCAGAAACUUACCGGCCACUGCUACUGUCUGCUUCCUAGACACAAGGGCUGUAUUUUACAUACAACAAAAUGAGGUCAGGGGAGAUUGAGAUGUUGACCCAGGUCGUUCAGUAAGAGACAAAUAUAUGAUCUUGAUCACAUGUGCCUUCUA